GAGGCAGAGGUCGGAAGAGCGGCUCAAAGAACCAGAUCCCGGGAGGUGGUCAUUUUGGACAGCCCUCUGCCUUCUAUGCCAUGUUGCAAGAUUUCCUCUGGAGAGGGCCUCUUGGCAAGGAACUGAUGUCUCUGGCCAGCAGCCAGCGAGGACCUAAGAUCUGUCAACAGCCAUGCUUAUGGCUGGUCUAGCAGAGCCAGGUGCCAGGCCUGGCGGGAGCAUCCUUGUCUCUUAACUGACAGUGCCUCCACCUGGCCUUGCAGCUCCACUCGACAAAUACUAAAUAACAGGCUCUGGCAUCUCCUGAAGCUCUGCACUCAUUAACACACUGGGAGGAAGGUAGAAGUUCCAUGGCUUUGGGCCCAGAUGAGAGAAGACCCUGAGUUGAGUGGAAGCAGCAGUGCCCCUCCUUGGCCCCUGCCUGGAGAUGGAGGCCACUAGGACCUGGAGAAGGAGGCAGAAGGGACAAUGAAUUGUGACUCGGAAAUUAAUCAGAUGAGACCUGAUGACUGAAGUACAUCACAGAGCUAGGAAGAGAGAUUACUAAGCAACACGGUGAGAGCUCCAUCCUCUGGGUAUUCAGCCAACUACAGAUCACUCAAAGGCAGACAUUCUGGGAUCUUCCAUCCAUCAAGCUGAACCAGAGUACAAGGCCAAAACCAGUGAAUGACAAAGCAACCCCAUGCCCAGCUUAAGAGUUUCCUCAGAGAGUUUGUCUUGUAGGAGUCAUUAGACACUAAUUUGAUUCUAUUUGCAUGUGCACACCCUGCCCUUUGCCAAACAGGGAGAGAAUCACACUUGAGAGCUAGCGCUCAGCUCAGUCUCUUCUCCACACCACGCUAGUGCACCAAGAACAAGGUUAUAGGUGUGGCAAAAAAACAAACCCUGCCAAUGCUCUAAGUAUAUGUUUGAUGUAAUCUUAUUUCUCAUAAAAUUAAGAGGAUAAUAUUUUUAGGUGAUGCAGAGUAUGAGACUGUCAUUAGGUUACUCUGAAUCUCUUUCUCUCUCUCUCUUCAUGGUAAAAAUUAAGUUCCAUUAGGAAAAUUCUUCCUCCCCUUCCUUCCUCCCAUUGGUCUUUCCUCCUAAGAUCCAGGUAGCUCUGAGAAAGUUUGUUUCAUCUAUGCGUUGGCCUGGGAAUCCUCCUCUUGUUAAUCUACACAAAUAAAAUCAUCUUAAAGAUCGAAAGCUUUUGUACAAAAAUGUCCUUCAUAGUGUUUUCUAUAUUAGCAAAAUGUUGUACAAAUAAUACAUAAUCUAACAUCUUAAAAAAGGGGAAAUGAUUAAAUAAAUUAUAGCACAAAAAUUCUGUGAGAUAUAUAGGCGAUGAUUAGAUGACAAUGUCAGGUCAGUUCAAUAAAUACAUGUUCAUUAGUUCCCAUAUGCCAGGCACUGAAAUAGGCAUCUGUCUUAUAUGUAUACAUAUGUAACAAACCUGCACGUUGUGCACAUGUACCCUAGAACUUAAAGUAUAAUUUAAAAAUAUAUAUAUAUAAAGAAAGAUAAACAAGAUAUGGACCCCUAAAGGAAACUCACUAUUUUCAGAUUGUAAGAGAAAACAUUUGGAUAUAUUAAAUUGUAAAAGAACAA
ensembl:lncRNA LINC02682 long intergenic non-protein coding RNA 2682